UGGCAUUCCACAGUUGCCCAGGAAAACACUGGCUGAGCACCUUAAACUCUUAAACAACAUCAGGAUCAUAUCCCCAACGCAACUAAGAAAACACAAAUCUGAAGUCAAAAAGGAAUAAAACAACUAUCCCAAGUCUUAGAGUUCCAAAUUACAACUCAAUAAUUACCCAAAGCUCACCAUACUAGAAGAAGGGGGAAAAAGAGAGAGAGAGAGAGAGA
rnacentral:misc_RNA from 1 species